GUUGCUGAAAUGGGGGUUGUAGUUGAUGAACACAAACCCCCGUGCCUGAUCAAUGCAAUGAAACAGCGGGUUCCAGUCGAACAUCGACAGCAUGAAGCUGGGCAGAGUGUUCGCUAGAAACAUCUUUCCCGAGGCGAUCAUAUUGGCCCUUUG
rnacentral:ncRNA from 1 species